UAUAUUCUCACGUUUUUCAUCUAAGAUGGCUUAUUAUGAGAAGGUUUUGAUGAAGUUGAUUUUUCUAUUUGUGAUUCUCUUAUCAAUGAAUAUGUCCACAGCAAGGGUACCCCUUUGGAUCUCAGAACCUCACAAACCAAAUGGACGCUUCCUUGGAGGUGCUGAUCCCUGGGGCCACAACUUUAACUUUCCUCGUCGUCCUCCAACUCCAUGAAAAAAAAAAAAAUAUUAUAUAAUAUUGUAUUGUUUUGGUUUUCAUCGUUAACAUAAAUUAUGUUUAUGUUUUUCUCUUAUUUAUAUUAAUAAUCAUAUUGUACAAUAUGGAAGAAAGAUGUAGUAGAAUUAUGGUUGUAAUGGAUUAGAUCUACUCCGCUGUUA